ACUACUACUACUACUACUACACAGAAGCGACGAACGACAUUGUUGGUGUUCCUGAGACAGUCAUUUCUCAAUGAUCAUGGCUCUAUUUCCGUUUUAUCAACCGAGGGCAACGAAUUGCUCUGCAAUAUCCCUUCAGUGGCUUUUACCCUAACAGAAGACACUGUAAAUGGUUUUUUCUGAGCCCAUUCAGGUCGCAACUCCGGAUUCAAAUUCAGAGGUUAGACAUCCAACGGGAGUUACGGUGUCGACGAGAUAAUCUCACUCUGUUGGGCAUUGGCAACACUAGCCUUCGUUUCUGUGGCACUUUAAACAACCAACUGACCUAUAUCUCCAAUCGUAACUUUGCGAAGUUCAUCUUCAACUCUGAUCGCGGGGUCCAAGCCGCUGGAUUUAGAGCUGUUAUCGAAGUUAUGGAGGUAUAAGGAUAUCCAGCCUUGCCAGUGACCCUCUUAUUGUGAUUGUGACCUCGUCCUUCACAAUUCCCUCUAAUAUCACUUUUAUGUCAUGUUCAAAGCAACUUACGUGCAAUAAAUUCCGCAGACUACUGAGCAUAA